GGCCGGUUAGCUCAGUCGGUUGAGUGUGGUGCUGAUAACAUCAAGGUUGCGGGUUCGAUUCCCAUUCAGUCCC
rnacentral:tRNA from 1 species